AUGUAUGAAAACCUAAAGCAAAAUACUCUGCCUUAUAGAAAAUUAAUUUUCAUACCAGACUGUUUUAAAGAGGCGAAGAAUGAAUUUAGAUUUCUUGCAUAUUUAUCACCCUCAAGUAGGAACAUCGUAUCAUUCAUGUCCAUACUUCAGAAAAAUGGCAAGGUCAUAUUAUGUAGAGUAACUAGCAUAAAACCACCACAAUUAUGGCUAAAAUCACACAAAGCACCAAAUAAAAAACACCGGCCCAUGGUUAAUGAUCGAGCAAAGACACCCAAACUGACGUGGCACGUGGGUAAGAGAUGCGGCUGA
rnacentral:rRNA from 1 species